GGAACGCGUGUCAAAGAUCCCGUCAGCAGUCAGUGCUGAACAGAAAGUGAAUUUUGCCGCUGUUCUCAGCUUUGGUGGUCUGGAAACUUGAACAGUAAAAGAAAGAGCAGAGCUGUGGUUUGACAUGUAACUGUGACAAAGACAUGUGGACUGCCCAGACCCUCUUCCUGCCAAAGUGGGCAGACAUACAGCCAAUGAGGGCUAGGCUACAUCCAUCGUUGGCAAAUGGCGUUCAACGCUGGCCCUCUCGCCGCCCUGCCUCCACUCUCUACUGCACCACAGCUGCCCAGAAUGAUUUUAUAAACCAGUGGAUCAAUACCUGUAUUGAUCAACCAUUGUGAGAGUGAUCCGUCUAAAACCCAGAGCAGCCUAGAGCUCAGAGAUGGGAGGAGCGAAAGAGAGUGGCUGCAGAGAGGAUGGAGAAGAGAGAGAGUCUGCAGCCACAGUGAAAGGGAGUAGAGGUGCAAGGGAGAAGAAGGGAAAAUCCGAAAGAGGAAAACGUAGAGCUGGAGGAAGGCUAGGAGGCAGGUUUUUCGGACAACGGUGCCAGGCCACUGGGAUCGGGGGAGAAACCAUCGGUAAUUGCAUUAUCGCUAAUUGAGGGAGGGUUAAAGGGGCUAAUGAAUGCUGCAAUAAGUAUGCGGGGAAUACCUUGAAGAUCCAGUAUCUGAAGAUGGCUUUUACUGUGUAACUGCGUGGGACAGUGAAGGCCCUGCACAUAUGGAAAUGUAGAACUCAAAUUGGAAUACCGAAAAUCCGAGAGAAAAGGAGUGCCCCCAAAACUGGAUGCAAACAUGCACUAAGGAUAUAAAAGGGACAGUUGUGAUUAAACCACAGUCCAGUAGUGACUCAAUGUCCGACCUGAUGGUGAAUGGUUUGGAUGACUUGGGAUGUGUCUGACAUGUUGACACUUCACUGGAAUGGAUCGUUUUUCAAUAUAUUUUGAAUUUUUACUGGUGUUUUCCUGACAAGAUGGCGCUGACUGGAGCCUUCAACACGGCCUGACUGAUGUUUUCCAUUCAAGGCCCCAGACUGCUGCGCGCAGGACGAGGCUUAUGGGAUCAUCUCCUGAUGCUAAAGGGAAAUCAAGUUUCCAUUGAUUGAUUUUAAAUGUGACUUUCUGCUGCAUAAUGGUGGAUUUGAGGGAGAAUAAAUCCAUUCAACAAACAGUUGAGAAACACAUGAUUAUGUCAUGAUCAUGAACCCACUUUGUCCUUGGCCCCUGGUGUGGGACCACUCAGAGUAAAGGGGCAUUCACUCUAUUGGUUCAAUGUGGACGUUCUGCACCGAGGACAAAUGCUACUAUGUUUAUAGCAGCACUAUAGUAAAAAACAUUGACAGGAAUGAAUUGACAUUGGGACUAAAUUGCAUUUGAGCUCGCACAAUAAAAAAGAACUGUUUGUACCUGAUUGUAGGAAUGUAUUAUUAUCUUCUGUCUUUGUUUAUUGACAUUUCUGCCAAUGUGUCAAAUCAGGCGGUGUUUCAGAGUGACACUUUCUACUAAUGAGUUGAAUUAAAUUGACAUUGUUUUGUUUUACAUGAUCUCACGCCAAAUUAAAAACAAGGCCGUUACUUUCUGCACGUGUGUUGUUAUCACUGUCAGUGGAGGCAGAACAUAUUGUAUGAAAUUUCACAUGAACAAUUAUGUACUGUUAUACUGUGAGACAGCUGUUAUGACAACUGACUUGUUCUGUGAUAGACAUUAGAACUAAGACUGGUUACCACAGAGACUGACAUGUUGUGUUUACAUCAGGCUUGUAAGAGUCACAUACGUAACUGUGAUGGUCAGACCUGACAGAACGAGCCACAUCGUUGGUCUCAAAUAUUAUUGUCUAACAAGCUUAUUGCUGAAGUAAUCGUAGAGAUGUCACAGUUAGACCUAUGAAAAUAGACAAAUGUAGAUUUAUACCAAGCACAGCUUUAACAAUUAAAUUACAGAGCGAAGAAUUCCUCCAAAACUUCAUGUGUUUCCCUGUGAGUUACCUUAUAGAUGUUGACACAUUUAAAAAUCUGAUUAAAGACCUGGAACACCUCCAAGAACAGAGCCGCACUUCAAAAUUACAAAAUCAUAUACCACAAGAAAAUGGCACAACAAUCCAUGUGCCAGUUUGGUAAUGAAGUAAUGCAGUGGAUGUCAACUCAUCGAUGAGCAACUCGUUUUUAACACUGUUGCUGGGGGCAGAUUGAUUACUGUGGCCUAUGUUUUCAGUGUAUCUAUUCACAUUAUAACUGUGUAACAGAAUAACUCAAUCAAUUCCCAAUAUUAUAUGUAUAACUUGUACCUCAACAACUGAUGAAGGAGGAGCGAAAGUGAAAGCAAAAGUAUGAAAUCAGUCAUGUAAACAUAUUUAAACAGUUUUUUCAUGAUAGCAGGUACUAAAUGUAACUUUUAGCUUUGACCCUGGUAAUGACAGCCCAACAGGUUGAAGUAAAACAUCCAAUAGCUGGGUAUUUUGACAAUCUGAUAAACUUCUAGGAUUGUCCAAUCUAGUUGCUAAAUUGAUGACAAAAAGAGAAAAUCCAGCAGGGGGAAGUGUUCAGGCAGAUUUCUUUUUUUUUUUUUUUUGUAAUAUUAUUUUAACAUAAUUACUGUACAUUUCCAACUGGACAAACUAUGACAUACUGUAGAUUAAAACUAUAGAUUAUAACUCUAUGUCAGAUCACUGAUCUGACAUAGAGUAUGUAUUGCCAUAUUUGGAAACAACAAUAUCUGAGCAGUUCUUGUUCUUUUCUGUGCUCAGAUUGAACAGUUUUUGUUUACAAAAGCUUGUCACACUCAACAAUGUCUUUGGCACAGUGACAAAAUGUACAAACAUAAUGUUAUGUCUCCCAUUGAUUACUAUAAAGUAACAGUUACAAAAAAUAUGACGCUUACAGCCAGUGGUGUGCCUUUUUAAACAACUCUGAAUUUACUCUGAUAUAAAGUUUGAAUUUUUAGUCUAAUAAUAAAAAAAUCUCCUUUCACUUUCCUUUUUUUAAUGCAUUAUUGAACCAAUGAAAUUGCUAUGUAUUAAAUAUAUAAUCUGCCCAUGAAAUCAGUUUGUAUUACCAAAAAAAAAAAAAAAAAAAAAACAAGCCUGAGAAGAGAGACUAAGAAAUGCAAUCAAAAGUUUGAAGACGUCAGAAAAUGUCAGUGAUUCCAUGGUCUCACGUGUUUACAUCAUAAGACACUGGAUUUUAUCCAUUAAGUCACAUACAUACCCACAGUAAAGAUACUUCAUAACUGAAUUAUCAUAUCAUAAAUCCAGAAAGAGAGAACUGGAAUUUAUAUUAAUACAAUGUAGUUAAACAAAAUAGGAAAGCUAUUUAAUGGAGAGUAAACAUUUAUAAUUUUGAAAAAAAAAAAGGAAAAAUGUUUUAUUGUCUACAGAUGGAUCCAUGUUAAAGUCAAGGCAGCACUGAGUUAGUGGAUCACCAUCUUGUGUCCCUUUAUCCCCCUGGUUGGAUUCAGAGUCUCAAAAAAAAAAAAAAAAAAAAAAAC